CACUCUAGCGAGACGUCGACGGUAAUAACGGAGGAGGUGGAUGACGUCAAUCAGCACGGCCCUUAUGUCCAGGGCUACACACGUGUUACAAUGGCCGGUACAGAGGGCAGCUACCUGGAGACAGGAUGCGAAUCUCGAAAGCCGGUCUCAGUUCGGAUCGGAGUCUGCAACUCGACUCCGUGAAGCUGGAUUCGCUAGUAAUCGCGCAUCAGCCAUGGCGCGGUGAAUACGUUCCCGGGCCUU
rnacentral:rRNA from 1 species